rnacentral:rRNA from 1 species
AGAGUUUGAUCCUGGCUCAGGAUGAACGAUGCCGGCGUGCUUAACACAUGCAAGUCGAACGAUGAUCCCAGCUUGCUGGGGGAUUAGUGGCGAACGGGUGAGUAACACGUGAGUAACCUGCCCUUGACUCUGGGAUAAGCCUGGGAAACUGGGUCUAAUACCGGAUAUGACUCCUCAUCGCAUGGUGGGGGGUGGAAAGCUUUUGUGGUUUUGGAUGGACUCGCGGCCUAUCAGCUUGUUGGUGGGGUAAUGGCCUACCAAGGCGACGACGGGUAGCCGGCCUGAGAGGGUGACCGGCCACACUGGGACUGAGACACGGCCCAGACUCCUACGGGAGGCAGCAGUGGGGAAUAUUGCACAAUGGGCGCAAGCCUGAUGCAGCGACGCCGCGUGAGGGAUGACGGCCUUCGGGUUGUAAACCUCUUUCAGUAGGGAAGAAGCGUAAGUGACGGUACCUGCAGAAGAAGCGCCGGCUAACUACGUGCCAGCAGCCGCGGUAAUACGUAGGGCGCAAGCGUUAUCCGGAAUUAUUGGGCGUAAAGAGCUCGUAGGCGGUUUGUCGCGUCUGCUGUGAAAGACCGGGGCUCAACUCCGGUUGGCUAGUGGGUACGGGCAGACUAGAGUGCAGUAGGGGAGACUGGAAUUCCUGGUGUAGCGGUGAAAUGCGCAGAUAUCAGGAGGAACACCGAUGGCGAAGGCAGGUCUCUGGGCUGUAACUGACGCUGAGGAGCGAAAGCAU